rnacentral:tRNA from 1 species
GGGGCAGUGGUCCAGUUUGGUCUACGAUUCCAGCUUGGGGUGUUGGCGACCCGAGUUCAAAUCUCGGCUGCCCCA